UACAGAGGGUGCAAGCGUUGUCCGGAAUCACUGGGCGUAAAGGGCGCGUAGGCGGCCUGAUCAGUCGGGGGUGAAAGCCUGUGGCUCAACCACAGAAUGGCCUUCGAUACUGUCAGGCUUGAGACCGGAAGAGGUAAGUGGAACUGCGAGUGUAGAGGUGAAAUUCGUAGAUAUUCGGAAGAACACCAGUGGCGAAGGCGACUUACUGGACACAUAUUGACGCUGAGGUGCGAAAGCGUGGGGAGCAAACAGG
rnacentral:rRNA from 1 species